rnacentral:rRNA from 1 species
GGGGGAAUAUUUGCACAAUGGGCGCAAGCCUGAUGCAGCCAUGCCGCGUGUAUGAAGAAGGCCUUCGGGUUGUAAAGUACUUUUCAGCAGUGAGGAAGGCGGGUACGUUAAUAGCGUGCUUUGGUUUUGACGUUAGCUGCAGAAGAAGCACCGGCUAACUCCGUGCCAGCAGCCGCGGUAAUACGGAGGGUGCGAGCGUUAAUCGGAAGUUUACUGGGCGUAAAGCGCAUGCAGGUGGUUUGUUAAGUCAGAUGUGAAAGCCCGGGGCUCAACCUCGGAAUUGCAUUUGAAACUGGCAGACUAGAGUACUGUAGAGGGGGUAGAAUUUCAGGUGUAGCGGUGAAAAUGCGUAGAGAUCUGAAGGAAUACCGGUGGCGAAGGCGGCCCCCUGGACAGAUACUGACACUCAGAUGCGAAAAGCGUGGGGAGCAAACAGGAUUAGAUACCCUGGUAG